AUUCCUUGUCGGGUAAGUUCCGACCUGCACGAAUGGUGUAACCAUGGCCACGCUGUCUCCACCCGAGACUCAGUGAAAUUGAAAUCGCAGUGAAGAUGCUGUGUACCCGCACCUAGACGGAAAGACCCCGUGAACCUUUACUACAGCUUGGCACUGAACAUUGAACCUACAUGUGUAGGAUAGGUGGGAGGCUUUGAAGCACAGUCGCUAGAUUGUGUGGAGCCGUCCUUGAAAUACCACCCUUGUAUGUUUGAUGUUCUAACAUUGGUCCCUUAUCGGGAUUGUGGACAGUGUCUGGUGGGUAGUUUGACUGGGGCGGUCUCCUCCCAAAUAGUAACGGAGGAGCACGAAGGUUAGCUAAUCACGGUCGGACAUCGUGAGGUUAGUGCAAUGGCAUAAGCUAGCUUAACUGCGAGACAGACACGUCGAGCAGGUACGAAAGUAGGUCAUAGUGAUCCGGUGGUUCUGUAUGGAAGGGCCAUCGCUCAACGGAUAAAAGGUACUCCGGGGAUAACAGGCUGAUGAUGCCCAAGAGUCCAUAUCGACGGCAUUGUUUGGCACCUCGAUGUCGGCUCAUCUCAUCCUGGGGCUGGAGCAGGUCCCAAGGGUACGGCUGUUCGCCGUUUAAAGAGGUACGUGAGCUGGGUUUAGAACGUCGUGAGACAGUUCGGUCCCUAUCUGCCGUGGGUGUAGGAUACUUGAGAGGAGUUGCCCCUAGUACGAGAGGACCGGGGUGAACGAACCACUGGUGGACCAGUUAUCGUGCCAACGGUAGUGCUGGGUAGCUAUGUUCGGAAAGGAUAACCGCUGAAGGCAUCUAAGCGGGAAGCCCCCCUCAAAACAAGGUAUCCCUGAGGGCCGUGGAAGACCACCACGUCAAUAGGCCGGAGAUGUAAGCGCAGCAAUGCGUUCAGUUGACCGGUACUAAUC
rnacentral:rRNA from 1 species